rnacentral:rRNA from 1 species
GUGGGGAAUCUUAGACAAUGGGGGAAACCCUGAUCCAGCCAUGCCGCGUGGAGGAAGACUGCCCUCUGGGUUGUAAACUCCUUUUAUAUGGGAAGAACCGUCCUCAUUAAUGAGUGACCUGACGGUACCAUAGGAAUAAGCACCGGCUAACUCCGUGCCAGCAGCCGCGGUAAUACGGAGGGUGCAAGCGUUAUCCGGAUUCACUGGGUUUAAAGGGUGCGUAGGCGGAUAAAUAAGUCAGUGGUGAAAUCAACGGACUCAACCUGUUAACUGCCAUUGAUACUGUGUAUCUUGAAUAUGAGAGAGGUAGGCGGAAUGUUGCAUGUAGCGGUGAAAUGCUUAGAUAUGCUACGGAACACCGAUUGCGAAGGCAGCUUACUAUUUCGUAAUUGACGCUGAGGCACGAAAGCGUGGGUAGCGAACAGGAUUAGAUACCCUUGUAGUCC